rnacentral:rRNA from 1 species
UGGGGGAUAUUGCACAAUGGGCGAAAGCCUGAUGCAGCGACGCCGCGUGGGGGAUGAAGGCCUUCGGGUUGUAAACUUCUUUUGCUCUGAACAAGGCGCACCAUGGGGUGUGUUGAGUGUAGGGGUUGAUUAGCGCCGGCUAACUACGUGCCAGCAGCCGCGGUAAUACGUAGGGCGCGAGCGUUGUCUGGAAUUAUUGGGCGUAAAGGGCUUGUAGGUGGCUGGUUGCGUCUGUCGUGAAAGCUCAUGGCUUAACUGUGGGUUUGCGGUGGGUACGGGCGGGCUUGGGUGCAGUAGGGGAGGCUGGAAUUCCUGGUGUAGCGGUGGAAUGCGAAGAUAUCAGGAGGAAUACCGGUGGCGAAGGCGGGUCUCUGGGCUGUUACUGACACUGAGGAGCGAAAGCAUGGGGAGCGAACAGG